rnacentral:misc_RNA from 1 species
UGGUUCUGGCAUCGAUGAAGAACGCAGCGAAAUGCGAUAAGUAAUGCGAAUUGCAGAAUUCAGUGAGUCAUCGAAUCUUUGAACGCACAUUGCGCCCUUUAGUAUUCUGAAGGGCAUGCCUGUUCGAGCGUCAUUAUCAACCCUCAAGCCUAGCUUGCUGUUGGGCCUGCCGAAGCUUCGGCCGGCCUCAAAGACAGUGACAGUGUCAAUCAGACCCUAGAUACAACGAGCUUUCGGGCACGUAUUUCAGCGGACUGGCUGGCCUCGUCUGUGUUCCCUUUUUUCUCAGGUUGACCUCGGAUCAGGUAGGAAUACCCGCUGA